UAGCUAGUUGGUGAGGUAACGGCUUACCAAGGCGACGAUCUGUAGCGGGUCUGAGAGGAUGAUCCGCCACACUGGAACUGAGACACGGUCCAGACUCCUACGGGAGGCAGCAGUGGGGAAUUUUGGACAAUGGGGGCAACCCUGAUCCAGCCAUGCCGCGUGAGUGAAGAAGGCCUUCGUGUUGUAAAGCUCUUUCGGCCGGGAAGAAAUCGCAUGGGCCAAUACCCUGUGUGGAUGACGGUACCGGAAUAAGAAGCACCGGCUAACUACGUGCCAGCAGCCGCGGUAAUACGUAGGGUGCGAGCGUUAAUCGGAAUUACUGGGCGUAAAGCGUGCGCAGGCGGUUUUGUAAGACAGGCGUGAAAUCCCCGGGCUCGACCUGGGAACUGCGUUUGUGACUGCAAGGCUAGAGUACGGCAGAGGGGGGUGGAAUUCCACGUGUAGCAGUGAAAUGCGUAGAGAUGUGGAAGAACACCAAUGGCGAAGGCAGCCCCCUGGGUCGAUACUGACGCUCAUGCACGAAAGCGUGGGUAGCAAACAGGAUUAGAUACCCUGGUAGUCCACGCCCUAAACUAUGUCAACUAGGUGUUGGGUGGGUAAAACCAUUUAGUACCGUAGCUAACGCGUGAAGUUGACCGCCUGGGGAGUACGGCCGCAAGGUUAAAACUCAAAGGAAUUGACGGGGACCCGCACAAGCGGUGGAUGAUGUGGAUUAAUUCGAUGCAACGCGAAAAACCUUACCUACCCUUGACAUGCCAGGAACUUGCCAGAGAUGGCUUGGUGCCCGAAAGGGAGCCUGGACACAGGUGCUGCAUGGCUGUCGUCAGCUCGUGUCGUGAGAUGUUGGGUUAAGUCCCGCAACGAGCGCAACCCUUGUCGUUAAUUGCCAUCAUUUAGUUGGGCACUUUAGCGAGACUGCCGGUGACAAACCGGAGGAAGGUGGGGAUGACGUCAAGUCCUCACGGCCCUUAUGGGUAGGGCUUCACACGUCAUACAAUGGUCGGUACAAAGGGUCGCCAAGCCGCGAGGUGGAGCCAAUCCCAGAAAGCCGAUCGUAGUCCGGAUUGCAGGCUGCAACUCGCCUGCAUGAAGUCGGAAUCGCUAGUAAUCGUGGAUCAGCAUGUCACGGUGAAUACGUUCCCGGGUCUUGUACACACCGCCCGUCACACCAUGGGAGCGGGUUCCGCCAGAAGUAGGUAGCCUAACCGCAAGGAGGGCGCUUACCACGGCGGGGUUCGUGACUGGGGUGAAGUCGGAACAAGGUAGCCGUAGGGGAACCUGCGGCUG
rnacentral:rRNA from 1 species